UACGUAGGGUCCAAGCGUUAUCCGGAAUCACUGGGCGUAAAGCGUGCGUAGGCGGGCCUUUAAGUCAGGGGUGAAAUCCUGGAGCUCAACUCCAGAACUGCCUUUGAUACUGAAGAUCUUGAGUUCGGGAGAGGUGAGUGGAACUGCGAGUGUAGAGGUGAAAUUCGUAGAUAUUCGCAAGAACACCAGUGGCGAAGGCGGCUCACUGGCCCGAUACUGACGCUGAGGCACGAAAGCGUGGGGAGCAAACAGG
rnacentral:rRNA from 1 species